rnacentral:rRNA from 1 species
AACGCUGGCGGCGUGCCUAAUACAUGCAAGUAGAACGCUGAAGAGAGGAGCUUGCUCUUCUUGGAUGAGUUGCGAACGGGUGAGUAACGCGUAGGUAACCUGCCUUGUAGCGGGGGAUAACUAUUGGAAACGAUAGCUAAUACCGCAUAACAAUGGAUGACUCAUGUCAUUUAUUUGAAAGGGGCAAAUGCUCCACUACAAGAUGGACCUGCGUUGUAUUAGCUAGUAGGUGAGGUAACGGCUCACCUAGGCGACGAUACAUAGCCGACCUGAGAGGGUGAUCGGCCACACUGGGACUGAGACACGGCCCAGACUCCUACGGGAGGCAGCAGUGGGGAAUCUUCGGCAAUGGGGGCAACCCUGACCGAGCAACGCCGCGUGAGUGAAGAAGGUUUUCGGAUCGUAAAGCUCUGUUGUAAGUCAAGAACGAGUGUGAGAGUGGAAAGUUCACACUGUGACGGUAGCUUACCAGAAAGGGACGGCUAACUACGUGCCAGCAGCCGCGGUAAUACGUAGGUCCCGAGCGUUGUCCGGAUUUAUUGGGCGUAAAGCGAGCGCAGGCGGUUUGAUAAGUCUGAAGUUAAAGGCUGUGGCUCAACCAUAGUUCGCUUUGGAAACUGUCAAACUUGAGUGCAGAAGGGGAGAGUGGAAUUCCAUGUGUAGCGGUGAAAUGCGUAGAUAUAUGGAGGAACACCGGUGGCGAAAGCGGCUCUCUGGUCUGUAACUGACGCUGAGGCUCGAAAGCGUGGGGAGCGAACAGGAUUAGAUACCCUGGUAGUCCACGCCGUAAACGAUGAGUGCUAGGUGUUGGAUCCUUUCCGGGAUUCAGUGCCGCAGCUAACGCAUUAAGCACUCCGCCUGGGGAGUACGACCGCAAGG